rnacentral:rRNA from 1 species
GACGAACGCUGGCGGCGUGCUUAACACAUGCAAGUCGAACGGAAAGGCCCUGCUUUUGUGGGGUGCUCGAGUGGCGAACGGGUGAGUAACACGUGAGUAACCUGCCCUUGACUUUGGGGUAACUUCAGGAAACUGGGGCUAAUACCGGAGAUGAUCUCCUGCUGCAUGGUGUUGGUUGGAAAGUUUCGGCGGUUGUGGAUGGUCUCGCUGCUUAUGAGCUUCUUUGUGGGGUAGUUGCUUACCAAGGCUUUGACGGGUAGCCGGCCUGGGAGGGUGAACGGCCACAUUGGGCCUGCGAUAGGGCCCAGACUCGUACGGGAGGCAGCAGUGGGGAAUAUUGCACAAUGGGCGGAAGCCUGAUGCAGAAACGCCGCGUGCGGGAUGACGGCCUUCGGGUUGUAAACCGCUUUCGCAUGUGACGAAGCGUGAGUGACGGUAAUGGGUAAAGAAGCACCGGCUAACUACGUG